rnacentral:rRNA from 1 species
GCCUCGCGUCUGAUUAGCUAGUUGGUAGGGUAAUGGCCUACCAAGGCGACGAUGGUUAGCUGGUCUGAGAGGAUGAUCAGCCACACUGGAACUGAGACACGGUCCAGACUCCUACGGGAGGCAGCAGUGAGGAAUAUUGCGCAAUGGGGGCAACCCUGACGCAGCAACGCCGCGUGAGUGAGGAAGGUUUUCGGACCGUAAAGCUCUGUCGAGCGGGAAGAAAUGCAUGGUGGCUAAUAUCCAUCAUGCUUGACGGUACCGCUAAAGGAAGCACCGGCUAACUCCGUGCCAGCAGCCGCGGUAAUACGGGGGGUGCGAGCGUUGUUCGGAAUUAUUGGGCGUAAAGAGCGUGUAGGCGGCCGAAUAAGUCAGAUGUGAAAUCCCUGGGCUUAACCCAGGACGUGCAUUUGAAACUAUUCGGCUAGAGUAGGGGAGAGGAAAGUGGAAUUCCUGGUGUAGAGGUGAAAUUCGUAGAUAUCAGGAGGAACACCGGUGGCGAAGGCGACUUUCUGGCCCUAUACUGACGCUGAGACGCGAGAGCGUGGGUAGCAAACAGGAUUAGAUACCCUGGUAGUCCACGCUGUAAACGAUGUUCACUAGGUGUUGGGGGUAUUGACCCUCUCAGUGCCGCAGCUAACGCA